rnacentral:lncRNA from 1 species
UACAUAUAAUCUUAACUAAGAUACACGUAUACUUUAUUAGAUACAUGAACUCUUAACUUGAUACAUGUAUAAAUUUUAUCAAAUCCAUAUUUUAACCACCGUCUCUCCUCAUCCCCCCUUCGUCUCUCUCUCCUCUCCAGUCAGAGGGUGUCAUGCAUCUUGUUGCUUGGGCUAUUCUGCGUCCAUGGCUAAGAAUUUAUGGGAGGAAAGGAAAAAAAUACGUGGGAGGGAAAGGAUUAGGAGAGAGAGUGAAUUGAUC